rnacentral:misc_RNA from 1 species
CCCGCGGAUACAGUAGAGAGGAUCUUAAUGUCAGCUAUGUGAAGGAAAAGAGAUUGAGAGUAAACAUGGGGCUGCAGAAGCUGCGUGACAAAGUGAAGGAGCAUCAAGAAAAGGUUGGAGAGAAGCUGAACACAGUUGCAAAAACUGCAGGCGUGGUUCAUGAUGUCUGGGUUGACAAUGCAGACCGCUGGGUCGCUGGCUUUCUUGAGAAGUUUGAGGAAGGUUGUCACUCAGUGGGAACGGCCAUCAAAGAGCGAAUCCAGGAGCGUUUAAG